rnacentral:rRNA from 1 species
UCCGGUUGAUCCUGCCGGACCCGACUGCUAUUUGGGUGAGGAUAAGCCAUGCGAGUUGAAUGGGAUACCUAAAGUUCCCAUGGCAAACUGCUCAGUAACACAUGAUCAACUUGCCCUAUAGAGAAAAAUAACCUCGGGAAACUGAGGAUAAUGUUUCAUAACUGAAUUGGCUUGGAAAAGUUUUUCAGUGAAAGGGAUAAAAUAAAUGGUUUUUAUCUGCUAUAGGAUAGGAUCGUGUUCGAUUAUGGUUGUUGGUGAGGUAAUGGCUCACCAAGCCGAUAAUCGAUAGGGGCCGUGAGAGCGGGAGCCCCGAGAUGGGUACUGAGACAACGACCCAGGCCUUACGAGGCGCAGCAGGCGCGAAACCUCCGCAAUACACGAAAGUGUGACGGGGUUACCCAAAGUGUUCAAUUUUGAACUGUGGUAGGUGAGUAAUGUUCCCUACUAGAAAGGAGAGGGCAAGGCUGGUGCCAGCCGCCGCGGUAAAACCAGCUCUUCAAGUGGUCGGGAUAAUUAUUGGGCUUAAAGUGUCCGUAGCCGGUUUAGUAAGUUCCUGGUAAAAUCGGGUAGCUUAACUAUCUAUAUGCUAGGAAUACUACUAUACUAGAGGGCGGGAGAGGUCUGAGGUACUACAGGGGUAGGGGUGAAAUCUUAUAAUCCUUGUAGGACCACCAGUGGCGAAGGCGUCAGACUGGAACGCGCCUGACGGUGAGGGACGAAAGCCAGGGGAGCGAACCGGAUUAGAUACCCCCGUAGUCC